rfam:Capsella rubella cultivar Monte Gargano unplaced genomic scaffold scaffold_4, whole genome shotgun sequence.
AACCCAUGAUGUGGGCAUUGGGACUGAUAUCCCUUGAAACGCUCCCAAGCUUCACAAAACGUCUUGUUAUUCUUCUGGGCAAAACUGGAUAUUUCAUUACGGAGAGGAU